AAGAAACAGGCUUUUAGAGAGUCAGCUGAAAAAGAGGAGCAAAGCCCCAAAACGAAAUUGCCUUUGCACCUUUAAGGCUUAAGUAGUAACUGGGAGUUUUUAAGUGUCUUUGACAACAUUGAGUGGAGGGAUAUUAUGAAGUUACAUUUUCAAUUUUCUCCAGUUGCAAAAGAAAAUGUAACAGCUGAAUCCUAAGUCAGGGCUACAGUAUUGCCAACAGAGGACGAAAGAAAUCUAAAGGAUUUUGCUUCUCUGCAUGACCCAGCGAUUCCAACAGUGAAAAGUUAGAAUGGUAAAUUUCCUAACAGCUGAAGCCUCUGGCAGAGUAAAGGCAACACCUGACUGAUACGUUAUCUUCCUACCGAGGCUCUGCAUGUAAGGAAAAAUUUCAAGUAUUUGCUCAGCUGACUCUGCUUGAAUUACUCUCUCUCCAUUGCAAUUCCCCUGUCUGGAUAAGCUGGCCCUGUCUAGGCAGCAGGCAAGGUGAACACUUGAUUACAAAAGGAUGAAGAAACUGAAGAAUCAACAACUCUUAGAUCGAUCAGAGAAGCGAGGGCACAGGGCAAACCACUGCCUCCAAAACUGGAAAGCCUGUGUGGAUGAAUAUUGCUUCCAGGAGUCACAUAAUUACAUCUAAAAUCAUAGAAUGUUAGAGCUGGAGGAAUCUUUAGAGUUUGCCCAAGGUCCUUCACCAGCAUUUUACAGAAGAUUCUUCGAUUUAACUGCUCUUAAUUACAUCCCGUUGCACUGGCCCCAUCAAGUUGCUUUAAACAGCCCUUCUAGUCAACAGAGCUGCAGAGAAAAACCUUGAGCUGUCACACUUCAUUUGUGAGAACACUCCAGAGCUUCCUCCAGCUGCUGAUUCCAAACCAGCUUCACAGUGCCUGGAUACAUGUUAUCUUCUGAGAAAGGCCAUCUCUAACCACUCUGUUCUUCCAGUACAAGCAAGCCGCUCCUGGGUCUUAUCUCUAUUUUAUCCACAGAACUCAUUUAUUUCCUUGCUUUUUAUACCUUUAUGCCUGAAUGGAUGUUCCUUGGAAGCAAAUUUUCCUUCUUUACUAUUUCAUUCCUAGUGUCUAUAACAUAAAAUAAGUGUUCCACAAAUUCUCGUAUGAUGAAAGAAUAAUAGAAUAUUAAUAUAAUAGAUAAAUUAAUAAAAUACGUUCACCUAUGUGCACUUUUACCUUAAAUAGUAAUAAUAAGCAGUUUUAACGUGUCUGAUGCUUUUCUAAUGCCAGUGCACAAUGCCUUCCUGUUUAUUUUGGGCCUCUUAGGCAGCCAGCUAACUAGGGAGCUCAUACCACUAAAUGAUUAUUGUGAGAACGGAGCAGGAAAGACAGGCAGUAGAUCCAGGAUUCAUCCAUUUGUAUUAUGUUAAAUACAAUGGUAAUCACACUAUUUUACCCAUUCUUCUCCUAGCUCCUUCUGAAUCCAAGGCAAAUAAACAAACUAUGCAAAGAAAUCAAACAUGACUUCUUCUUGGUCCUAUAAGAAGAUUGUUCAUGCUAUGCUUGUUAGAAGAGUUACAUGUAUACCUAUGAUCUUCGAAGACUAAAGAAAAUAUCAAGGAAACGUAUUUCAAUAAUGAUAUGGUCAAGACAUAGAGUUUCUUAUAUUAAUAAUACAAAGUUCACUUUCUGAAAAAAUGCACAUAUUGUUUAAGAUCGUCACAUAGUUUAUAUAUUUUAAUCGCUCCAUAAUUACGGAAUUAUUUUAAAUAAUAGCAAUAAUUAUAAUUGUAGUAUUUAAUGUCAAUAUUUCUACAAAUUAUAUUUAAGUAAAUAAGUAUAUUGUGAAAGGAGAGGGAUUCAGGAUCAGGGGUAUGUUCAAAAAUCUAUUUGUUUUUGUCAUUGUUGAAUAAAAAUCUCCCAUCUCAAAAUCUUUGUAAAAGGAUAUCCAUGGAAAAAAGAACCUAUUACUUUAUUCUCCAGUCAAAAUUAAAACUGGUUCACAAUGGCCACAUCUUCUAUUUAUACAUAAAACACAGCUUUUAACAUAGACUAAUUUUUGUCUGUUAAAAAUGAAAUUGAGAUUCAGUAAAGAUGGAUUCAAAUUCAAUACGUUAAAUCUAUUGUUUUAAAUAUACCAGGUCAUGUGUGCUCUCUCUUUUCCCUCCAACCCAUUUCACUCCCCUUCUUUCUCCUUUUGAACUGCUGACCCGAGUUAGUAGCCAAACAUAAUAAUACAGUGUUUGAUUCUCUGGAAACCCAUAAAAUUACAAACCAGCAACCACUAGGAUGUUGGCAGAAUUUCUGUGGACAGCAACCAGCAUGGUACUUUUUUUCUUUUUGAAAUGAAGCAGUACAUUGCAAUUGUUGAUACAGUACCAAGGAAGGGAAUAACGUCCACCAUAUGUCGCCCCCACCACCUAACUCUUUUGACUACUUGAGGUUGGGAGAGAGAAUUCAUCUAUUUAAAACAUGAAUGCCUUCUCUUUUAGCCUUUACUAUUUAAAGAUGCCUUUUUUCAUUUUUUUUAUUUUUAUUAAGCAGCAGUGGAGUUUUAUACUACUAUACUAAGUGCGACAGAAGAUAAACAUAUAAAUAAAACAUACCACUACAUGCCUUCAAGAAAAACAAAAUCUAAUAAAAUCUAAAAUCUAAUGGGAACUUCAAGUUUUACUGGAAAUUAGAGACUCUUUCUUCUCACUGCAACAGGAAUAUUUGAUUAGUCGUACAGCUGCAC
rnacentral:lncRNA from 10 species